AUAAACCAGCACAGGUCUUUUCAGCAUGUUUUAUUCUCACUCAUAUGCUUUCCAAAAAAUUUUCUAGAAGGUCACCCAUCAAAAUACUACUCCAAGUCAAGUACGCUUAGUUAUGGAAUUCUUAUAUAUUAGGCUAUCGAAAAAAAGAUGCAUCUUGUUGGUAUAGGCAGUAUCAAUCAAUUCUUAUAAGCCUUCUUUUAACUAUUCUGUC
rnacentral:lncRNA from 1 species